UGAGGAACAUGACUUUCGGCGGGGGAUAGCCGGCCCAACGGCCGGGUAAUACCGCGUACGACCACACGGGGACAUCCCCGAGUGGUGAAAGCAGCAAUGCGCCGAUGGAGUGCCUCGCGGCCUAUCAGCUAGUUGGUGAGGUAACGGCUCACCAAGGCGACGACGGGUAGCUGGUCUGAGAGGAUGGCCAGCCACAGUUGGGACUGAGACACGGCCCAGACCUCCCGUACGGGGAGCAG
rnacentral:rRNA from 1 species